AAUCUUCCGCAAUGGACGCAAGUCUGACGGAGCAACGCCGCGUGAGUGAGGAAGGUUUUCGGAUCGUAAAACUCUGUUGCCAGGGAAGAACGCCAGGGAGAGGCAAUGCUCUCUGGGUGACGGUACCUGAGAAGAAAGCCCCGGCUAACUACGUGCCAGCAGCCGCGGUAAUACGUAGGGGGCAAGCGUUGUCCGGAUUCACUGGGUGUAAAGGGUGCGCAGGCGGGAAGGUAAGUUAGAGGUGAAAUCUCACGGCUCAACCGUGAAACUGCCUUUGAUACUGCUUUUCUUGAGUUAGGGAGAGGUUGAUGGAAUUCCAGGUGUAGCGGUGAAAUGCGUAGAUAUCUGGAAGAACACCGGUGGCGAAGGCGGUCAACUGGCCCUAAACUGACGCUCAUGCACGAAAGCGUGGGGGUC
rnacentral:rRNA from 1 species